CCUACGGGGGACAGCAGUGAGGAAUAUUGGUCAAUGGGCGCGAGCCUGAACCAGCCAAGUCGCGUGCGGGAUGAAGGUUCUAUGGGUCGUAAACCUCUUUUGUAAGGGAAUAAAGUGUGGGACGUGUCCUUUUUUGUAUGUACCUUAUGAAUAAGGAUCGGCUAACUCCGUGCCAGCAGCCGCGGUAAUACGGAGGAUCCGAGCGUUAUCCGGAUUUAUUGGGUUUAAAGGGUGCGUAGGCGGCCGUUUAAGUCAGCGGUGAAAGUCUGUGGCUCAACCAUAGAAUUGCCGUUGAAACUGGGGGGCUUGAGUAUGUUUGAGGCAGGCGGAAUGCGUGGUGUAGCGGUGAAAUGCUUAGAUAUCACGCAGAACCCCGAUUGCGAAGGCAGCCUGCCAAGCCAUGACUGACGCUGAUGCACGAAAGCGUGGGGAUCAAACAGGGUUAGAUACCCCAGUAGUC
rnacentral:rRNA from 1 species